UUUGGAUGUAUAAUAUAUACUAUUUUCAAUAAAAAUUCCAUUGAAUUUAUGUAUAUGUAAUGUAUUUUAUGGGGCAAAGGGAGACUGGGGAAUGUAGCUCUUGUAUUUUAUCUAUUUCUUAUGGAGAAAAUUGAUUCCAUUAACGUUUCCGUUUUCGUCGCGGUUUUCAGGAACGGAACCACGACAUUAAGCGAGGACUUACUGUACAAGUACUGUACUUGAAAUCCUUAAACCUCCUUCAAUAUUUCAUUAUUUUAACAAUAUUGAUAUGUUUUACAAAAUUUCUUUGUCAAACCCUUUCCUAAAUUUCUUUCAGACCCUUUCCUUUCAAAAACCAUUACAGUACCCUAUUUUCCUUGCAUUUAUCUUCAUUUUCCCACUAUCACAUACUUAGACAAACUUAUUCACCACCACUUUUGAAGUUUCUAUUUUGUUAAUGUCUUAAUAAUGUAAAUUAGAAAUCAAAGAACAAAGGUGUAAGCAUUUGUUGAAAAAUUCUGCAGAAUGUUAGAUUGUGUUGAUAAAAUGUAACUAUUGCCUUGAACUAUAAUUCAGGCUGUUGAAAUUUAAAGAGGAGGGUGGUCCUCAGAAGUGAGCUGAUUUGGUUAUGUAAAGGGAGCAAGAGAAGACACAGGUGAAGUCCUCCAAAUUACACCCUUUACAUUUAGGCAGAACUUUCUUUUAAAAUUAUCAGUCUAAAUUGCACUGCAAACUCCCUUAGAAUAUUGCAAUCUAUGGAUUGUUAAGAUGAUAAUGAUAUGUAUUAGAACACAAGCUCUGAUCUAAAAAAAAAAUCAACCAUUCUGAAGUCUAUUGCUGUCAGUCUUCGAUCUAUGACUUGCACAUAACUAUCAAUGUGAAUUAGAUAUUGGUUUCUGAAUUGUCCUAUUUCACAUCAAGAUAAAUUGUCCUUGUUGCUUCACUUAAUAAUUCCACUCCCAACUGCAUCCGUCCCUCCCCCUCUUCCCUCCCUCCCCAUACCUUCCAUGCCUCCCCCUUUAGGAAAGAUUGGGCUGGCAUGGUUUAUACAAGAAAACGUCGAAAACAGGAACAACACCGCUCUUCACACAAGGUCCUGGUAUGAGAACAAUUUCAACCGAGAUCACCAGAAAUGGGCAUGUUGCAGGUGGAUGGCUACAAUAUCCACUGUCAUCAUGACUUCUUUUUGGUAAAAUAAGGUUGUCUGUGGGUUCCAGUAAGGUCAGCUUGGAGUUGUGUGAUGUAUGUACAACAUAUCCCCAGGACACGAGUUCAACGGAUGCGCAUUCUUUGUAACCAUUUUCAAUAUAUAUGUAUGCAGUGUGAGGUUUCUUUUAACUAAUUGUUCAUGUAUUAUUUUGGGUGGACUUUUGUCUUCUAUAAAUCAUCACUGAUUGAUUAGCAAACAUCAGUGACCUCUUAGCCUGGUUAACUUUUGACAGUUUGGUUGUAGUAUAUCUAUAUACUGUACUGUACUGAUAAGCAGAAGUUCAUAUCCUAACUAUUGUCUCCUUAAUUCAUCACCUGAGAUAUUUUUACUUCAUAAGCAAUCAUUUUGUUUUUUGCAAUUUGUAUGUAAUGUACAAUUGGUUUGAUAUCCACCACAUAAAAUCAACUGCUUCAGUAUUAAGAAUUAAAUUUUAUUUGUUUGACUUUUUGCAAAAUAGAACUGUUAUCUAUCACUGGAAGUCUUUUUAAGUUAUAUAGUACAGUAGUUAACUUGAAGCUUUCAUUUAAAUUUCAUAAAGAAUUGUGAAUCGACUUGAUACAAGUUUAUGCAGUGUACAGUAUAUGAAUUUUGAUGUCCUACUUGGUGUAGUACCAGUGUUAUCUGAGAAUUUGAAACGUAGAUUUCACUUAUCAUUGUCUAUACCCGUACUUCAAAAUUAAGUGAUCGUAUAUAAAUACUGAAUUGAGAAUCUAAAAGGGUUUUACUACUUAUUUGUGUAAUCCCCCCCAAAAAAGAAACUUGCAGCAUUAGGCAUGAGCAGUGGUGGGUGGGUGGGGCUGCAAUCCCAGGGCCACCAAAGAACUUACACCCACCAAAUUUUACUUAACAUAUUAUUGAGAGAAAGUUGCAUACAGAAUAUGCUUUCUUUAAAAUUACUGGUCUGUUUUCAUUCACAACUAGACCCUGGGUAUGAGGUCCAUGUUCCUUAAAGUGCUGUGAAGUCUUUAUCUUGUAGCUACUCAAUUGCUUGAUUCAAAUGAAAUUUUAUAUAAAAUA
rnacentral:lncRNA from 1 species